AAACCCUAAAAGCUUCCGAAUACUCAGUGUUUCUAUAGGGGAUCGCAUUUUACUGUGGUCUGGGCUGGGUGAGUAUCUUUUCCUUUAAAGAUUCCUUAGCUCCGUGGAUGAAAGUGUUCAUUAAAAUAUCACUGUGUUAAUCAUAAUAUUGAGGAGUGACAGGGCUGCUUUGCCAUAUAAAUGCUGCCCCGUUUCCUUCUCUCAGGGUGUAACAGGAGAAAGAAAGACCAUCUUGAUAGGCACUAUCUGCUGAAGGAAAACUUUUCACCAGGAGCUCUGCCUUGAUUUUAACCUUUUAGUGGCCGCACUGCGAAGCAGAAGGGUUCAUGCUUCCCACACAGAAUGAAGCUGGUUUGUUUAAAAUACUCAUAAAUGCCAGCAGCCCUCCUAAUUCCUUCUGCAAAUAUCAGAAAGCAGUUAUGGAGGCAUAAAGAAAUGCAACUGGAAACAUGGUUCAGUGGUCUUGUACUUCCCUGAGAAGCUGAUUUUGGCUGAUUCAGUUGCUUUCAGAGGGAAUUUACCCUUUUUGGCAGUUUGAGUUUCAGCAGUGCUGAUUGGACUGGCGGCCGAAAAUGCAUCUGGGGCUGAGGAAAUGAACCCGGGGUCUUUGUGUGUGUCUCAGGCUGAAUUUUGCCUGCGAGAUCUGGGGUUUGUCUUUUAGCCCCUCAGUGUCCCUGGUUGUGUGGGAUUCAGAAGCCAUUUUAACACUCCUUUCAACCCCGAGACGUUUCAUUUAUGCUUUUGCAGGUGCCUUGCCCAAUUCCCUGCUUUCCCUGUCUGAUUUAUCUUUCAGGAUAAGCACUAAUGAAAGGUCAAGGUUAUUCCGAAGUAUCCAGCCCAGGAGAGUUCUCUCCCCCAUCAUUCCUCAAGAUGAACUUCGCACAACUACCACUGAUACCGUGCUGAAAGGAUCCCUUUGCAGGAUCUGGCCCUUUCCCAAAGGAAUUCCACAGCCCCCGCCGUUGUUCCGAGGGUAAUUUAGAAACAAAGGUCAAGUGCAACAGCUUUGCUCAUCCGUGGAACAGAAAUAGGGGAGAAGGCUCUUUCCCCACAGCUCUGUGCUCUCGCAGCCCGCUCAGGGUGAAUCCUGGUACAGCGACAGCUCCUACUCCAUUUCUUCCCAUGUUUUUGUGCUUGCUGCAUUUAUUUCUAUGUAACCACCUCACCUCGAUCCUAUAUUGGUUACUGCCUCUCCCGGGGCUAGUGCAGGACAAUUUCUGCUCCUGCCUGACAAACUCGCUCUUUACUUGGCUUAUGUCUCAAUAAAAGCCUUCGGGAAGAUUUCGUUCCACCCCACACGCUGCAGGUUUGCAUCCUAUUAUCUUCCCGAAGAGGCGAGUUUGUGAACCUGGACCCCCUGAUGUCGCCAGGCUACUUGGCAAAAAUCACACCAGUGACUUCUGCAACCACAUCCGACACCAGAAUCCUUGUGCGGUCUCAGGAUUCCCUGUCAAUGACACUCGCUUCACGUUACUUUCCCCUCGCUCAGGAAAUGUAAAGACUUCUCCCUGGUUUUACUGACCUUCUCCCUGGUUUUAGCUGACCCAGCCCCAGCAACAAGGCGCCUUUUACAACCUACAGACCCCAUAAGGUGCAUGGAACCCACCACCCGAUUCCUCCCUUGGUUUCCCAGAGGCUUCCUGUAGUAACCAUGAACUUCUUGGGACAAUUUUGGCUUUUCAAAAUAUCUCAGUAGGAAUUUCAAUUUACAAUAUUCUUUCCGAGAAAUGGGCUAGUUUACAGAGAAAACGCAGCAAAGAAAAGAAAUAAACCCUACCUUUAAACCGG